GACCGUGUAGCUCAGUUGGCAGAGCAUUGGGCUCAUAGGAUUGGGCUAGUAUUCCAAAGGUCGUAGGUUCGAUUCCCACCGUGGUCA